rnacentral:rRNA from 1 species
GACUCUCGGCAACGGAUAUCUCGGCUCACGCAUCGAUGAAGAACGUACAAAAUGCGAUACUUGGUGUGAAUUGCAGAAUCCCGUGAACCAUCGAGUUUUUGAACGCAAGUUGCGCCCAAAGCCUUUCGGCUGAGGGCACGUCUGCCUGGGCGUCACAC